rnacentral:rRNA from 1 species
CCUACGGGUGGCAGCAGUGGGGAAUAUUGCACAAUGGGGGAAACCCUGAUGCAGCGACGCCGCGUGGGCGAAGAAGUAUUUCGGUAUGUAAAGCCCUAUCAGCAGGGAAGAAGAAAUGACGGUACCUGACUAAGAAGCACCUGCUAAAUACGUGCCAGCAGCCGCGGUAAUACGUAUGGUGCAAGCGUUAUCCGGAUUUACUGGGUGUAAAGGGAGCGCAGGCGGCACGGCAAGCCUGAUGUGAAAGCCCGCGGCCCAACCGCGGGACUGCAUUGGGAACUACCGGGCUGGAGUGCCGGAGAGGUAGGCGGAAGUCCUAGUGUAGCGGUGAAAUGCGUAGAUAUUAGGAGGAACACCAGUGGCGAAGGCGGCCUACUGGACGGUGACUGACGCUGAGGCUCGAAAGCGUGGGGAGCAAACAGGAUUAGAUACCCGAGUAGUC